AUUGAACGCUGGCGGCAGGCCUAACACUUGCAAGUCGAGCGGUAACAUUUCUAGCUUGCUAGAAGAUGGCGAGCGGCGGACGGGUGAGUAAUGCUUGGGAACAUGCCUUGAGGUGGGGGACAACCGUUGGAAACGACGGCUAAUACCGCAUAAUCUCUACGGAGCAAAGGGGGCUUUUAGCUCUCGCCUUUAGAUUGGCCCAAGUGGGAUUAGCUAGUUGGUGAGGUAAUGGCUCACCAAGGCGACGAUCCCUAGCUGGUUUGAGAGGAUGAUCAGCCACACUGGAACUGAGACACGGUCCAGACUCCUACGGGAGGCAGCAGUGGGGAAUAUUGCACAAUGGGCGCAAGCCUGAUGCAGCCAUGCCGCGUGUGUGAAGAAGGCCUUCGGGUUGUAAAGCACUUUCAGUCAGGAGGAAAGGUUAGUAGUUAAUACCUGCUAGCUGUGACGUUACUGACAGAAGAAGCACCGGCUAACUCCGUGCCAGCAGCCGCGGUAAUACGGAGGGUGCGAGCGUUAAUCGGAAUUACUGGGCGUAAAGCGUACGCAGGCGGUUUGUUAAGCGAGAUGUGAAAGCCCCGGGCUCAACCUGGGAACAGCAUUUCGAACUGGCAAGCUAGAGUGUGAUAGAGGGUGGUAGAAUUUCAGGUGUAGCGGUGAAAUGCGUAGAGAUCUGAAGGAAUACCGAUGGCGAACGCAGCCACCUGGGUCAACACUGACGCUCAUGUACGAAGCGUGGGGAGCAAACAGG
rnacentral:rRNA from 1 species